GACGAACGCUGGCGGCGUGCUUAAUACAUGCAAGUCGAACGGAAAGGCCCUGCUUUUGCGGGGCGCUCGAGUGGCGAACGGGUGAGUAACACGCGAGUAACCUGCCCCUGACUUUGGGAUAACACUAGGAAACUGGGGCUAAUACCGGAUAGGAUCUCCUGCUGCACGGUGGGGGUUGGAAAGUUUCGGCGGUUGGGGAUGGACUCGCGGCUUAUCAGCUUGUUGGUGGGGUAGUUGCUUACCAAGGGUUUGACGGGUAGCCGGCCUGAGAGGGUGACCGGCCACAUUGGGACUGAGAUACGGCCCAGAAUCCUACGGGAGGCAGCAGUGGGAAGUAUUACGCAGUGGGCGGAAGCCUGAUGCGGCGACGCCGGGUGCGGAAUGACGGCCUUCGAGUUAUAAACCGCUUUCGCCUGUAACGAGGCGUGAGUGACGGUAAUGAGUAAAAAAGCACCGGCUAACUACGUG
rnacentral:rRNA from 1 species